GAGAAAUUAAUGAUUUAAGUCCUUCUUAAAUGAGGCCAUUUACCCAUAGAGGGUGCCAGGCCCGUAUAACAUUAAUGAUUAUUAGAAGAUAUUUCCAAAGAGUCGUGUUGCUUGAUAGUGCAGCACUAAGUGGGUGGUAAACUCCAUCUAAAACUAAAUAUAACCAUGAGACCGAUAGUAAACAAGUACCGUGAGGGAAAGUUGAAAAGAACUCUGAAUAGAGAGUUAAAUAGUACGUGAAACUGCUUAGAGGUUAAGCCCGAUGAACCUGAAUAUCCAAUAUGGAGAAUUCAUCAUUAAGAUAGUAUAAUAUAAAUUAUUAUAAUAUUAUGGUGUGCAUUUUCUUCAUAUAAACAAAUUGGACAUUGUAAUCUAUUAAUAUAUAAAAAUUGAAUAUGUAUCAUAAGAUCAUUGGGUAUAAUGUUUAUUUUAUUAUUAAUUGUUUUGGAGAACUUUUCGUGAGUUUUCUUUUAUUAAUUAAUAUAAAAUAAUUUCCUAUGAUUUGAUAAAGUAUUGAUAGAUUUAAUCAUAUGUAUAAUGCAAAAAUUCUAUUAUAGAAUUUUAUAAUAGAUAUUAUGUUUAUUAUAAGCAUUUAUACGAUUUACAAUGCGAAAGAUUCAGGAUACCUUCGGGACCCGUCUUGAAACACGGACCAAGGAGUCUAACAUAUGUGCAAGUUUUUGGGAUAUAUAAUAAAAAUAAUAAAACCCAAAAGCAUAAUUAACAUAACUUAAAAAUUUUUUAAUGGGAUUAGUUUUUUUUUUAAUAAAAAAUUAAUUCAAUCCCAGGGCGUUCUAUAUAGUUUAUGUAUAAUUAGCAUUUUAUGUUAUUUAUAUCUCUAAACUAGAGCGUACCUUGAGCAUAUAUGCUGUUACCCGAAAGAUGGUGAACUAUACUUGAUCAGGUUGAAGUCAGGGGAAACC
rnacentral:rRNA from 1 species